rnacentral:rRNA from 1 species
GAGUUUGAUCGUGGCUCAGAUUGAACGCUGGCGGCAGGCCUAACACAUGCAAGUCGAGCGUGAAAGGGCUUCGGCCUGAGUAAAGCGGCGGACGGGUGAGUAACGCGUAGGAAUCUACCUAGUAGUGGGGGAUAACGUUCCGAAAGGAACGCUAAUACCGCAUACGUUCUGAGGAAGAAAGCAGGGGGAUCGCAAGACCUUGCGCUAUUAGAUGAGCCUGCGUCCGAUUAGCUAGUUGGUGGGGUAAAGGCCUACCAAGGCGACGAUCGGUAACUGGUCUGAGAGGAUGAUCAGUCACACUGGAACUGAGACACGGUCCAGACUCCUACGGGAGGCAGCAGUGGGGAAUAUUGGACAAUAGGCGCAAGCCUGAUCCAGCCAUGCCGCGUGUGUGAAGAAGGCCUUCGGUU